UACGUAGGGCGCAAGCGUUGUCCGGAAUUAUUGGGCGUAAAGAGCUCGUAGGCGGUUUGUCGCGUCUGCUGUGAAAACCUAAGGCUCAACCUUGGGCUUGCAGUGGGUACGGGCAGACUAGAGUGCGGUAGGGGUGACUGGAAUUCCUGGUGUAGCGGUGAAAUGCGCAGAUAUCAGGAGGAGCACCGGUGGCGAAGGCGGGUCUCUGGGCCGAUACUGACGCUGAGGAGCGAAAGCGUGGGGAGCGAACAGG
rnacentral:rRNA from 1 species